GAUGAACGCUGGCGGCGUGCCUAAUACAUGCCAGUCGAGCGAACGGACGAGAAGCUUGCUUCUCUGAUGUUAGCGGCGGACGGGUGAGUAACACGUGGAUAACCUACCUAUAAGACUGGGAUAACUUCGGGAAACCGGAGCUAAUACCGGAUAAUAUUUUGAACCGCAUGGUUCAAAAGUGAAAGACGGUCUUGCUGUCACUUAUAGAUGGAUCCGCGCUGCAUUAGCUAGUUGGUAAGGUAACGGCUUACCAAGGCAACGAUGCAUAGCCGACCUGAGAGGGUGAUCGGCCACCCUGGAACUGAGACCCGGUCCAGACUCCUACGGGAGGCCGCGGUAGGGAAUCUUCCGCAAUGGGCGAAAGCCUGACGGAGCAACGCCGCGUGAGUGAUGAAGGUCUUCGGAUCGUAAAACUCUGUUAUUAGGGAAGAACAUAUGUGUAAGUAACUGUGCACAUCUUGACGGUACCUAAUCAGAAAGCCACGGCUAACUACGUG
rnacentral:rRNA from 1 species